rnacentral:rRNA from 2 species
AGCCUGAUGCAGCGACGCCGCGUGAGGGAUGACGGCCUUCGGGUUGUAAACCUCUUUCAGCAGGGACGAAGCGCAAGUGACGGUACCUGCAGAAGAAGCACCGGCUAACUACGUGCCAGCAGCCGCGGUAAUACGUAGGGUGCAAGCGUUGUCCGGAAUUACUGGGCGUAAAGAGUUCGUAGGCGGUUUGUCGCGUCGUUUGUGAAAACCAGCAGCUCAACUGCUGGCUUGCAGGCGAUACGGGCAGACUUGAGUACUGCAGGGGAGACUGGAAUUCCUGGUGUAGCGGUGAAAUGCGCAGAUAUCAGGAGGAACACCGGUGGCGAAGGCGGGUCUCUGGGCAGUAACUGACGCUGAGGAACGAAAGCGUGGGUAGCGAACAGGAUUAGAUACCCUGGUAGUCCACGCCGUAAACGGUGGGCGCUAGGUGUGGGUUCCUUCCACGGAAUCCGUGCCGUAGCUAACGCAUUAAGCGCCCCGCCUGGG